AUUGAACGCUGGCGGCAUGCCUUACACAUGCAAGUCGAACGGCAGCACGGGAGCAAUCCUGGUGGCGAGUGGCGAACGGGUGAGUAACAUAUCGGAACGUGCCCAGUCGUGGGGGAUAACGCAGCGAAAGCUGUGCUAAUACCGCCUACGAUCGAUGGAUGAAAGCGGGGGAUCGCAAGACCCAGCUCGUUUGGAGCGGCCGAUAUCAGAUUAGCUAGUUGGUGAGGUAAAGGCGCACCAAGGCGACGAUCUGUAGCUGGUCUGAGAGGACGACCAGCCACACUGGAACUGAGACACGGUCCAGACUCCUACGGGAGGCAGCAGUGGGGAAUUUUGGACAAUGGGCGCAAGCCUGAUCCAGCAAUGCCGCGUGCAGGAUGAAGGCCUUCGGGUUGUAAACUGCUUUUGUACGGAACGAAACGGUCUUUCCUAAUACGAGAGGCUAAUGACGGUACCGUAAGAAUAAGCACCGGCUAACUACGUGCCAGCAGCCGCAGUAA
rnacentral:rRNA from 1 species